GUUUGAUCAUGGCUCAGAAUGAACGUUGGCGGCGUGGAUUAGGCAUGCAAGUCGAGCGAGAACCCAGCAAUGGGGGACAGCGGCGUAAGGGACAGUAAUGUGUAGAUUAUCUGCCCUCGGGACCGGGAUAGCUGCGGGAAACUGCAGGUAAUACCGGAUAACAUCUCCGGAUCAAAGGUGUGAUUCCGCCCGAGGAUGAGUCUGCAUCCUAUUAGCUAGUUGGCAGGGUAAUGGCCUACCAAGGCUUUGAUGGGUAGCGGGUGUGAGAGCACGACCCGCGUCAUUGGGACUGAGACACUGCCCAGACACCUACGGGUGGCUGCAGUCGAGAAUCUUCGGCAAUGGGCGCAAGCCUGACCGAGCGACGCCGCGUGUGGGAUGAAGGCCUUCGGGUUGUAAACCACUGUUAGAGGGGAUGAAAUGCAGGUGGGUUCUCCCAUCUGUUUGACAUAGCCUCAGAGGAAGGACGGGCUAAGUUCGCGCCAGCAGCCGCGGUAAGACGAACCGUCCAAACGUUAUUCGGAAUUACUGGGCUUAAAGGGUGCGUAGGCGGCGCGGCAAGUUGGGUGUGAAAUACCUCGGCUCAACCGAGGAACUGCGCCCAAAACUGCCGUGCUUGAGGAAGAUAGAGGUGAGCGGAACUUAGGGUGGAGCGGUGAAAUGCGUUGAUAUCCUAAGGAACACCGGUGGCGAAAGCGGCUCACUGGAUCUUUUCUGACGCUGAGGCACGAAAGCUAGGGUAGCGAACGGGAUUAGAUACCCCGGUAGUCCUAGCCGUAAACGAUGAGCACUGGAUUGGAGGGUCCUCCAUAGCCUUCCAGUCGCAACGAAAGCGUUAAGUGCCCCGCCUGGGGAGUACGGUCGCAAGGCUGAAACUCAA
rnacentral:rRNA from 1 species